rnacentral:rRNA from 1 species
AGAAUCAACGCUGGCGGCGUGCCUAACACAUGCAAGUCGCACGAGAAAGGGACUCCGGUCCUGAGUAAAGUGGCGCACGGGUGAGUAACACGUGAAUGAUCUACCUCCGAGUGGGGAAUAACCUAGAGAAAUCUGGGCUAAUACCGCAUAACACUUACGAGUCAAAGCAGCAAUGCGCUUGGAGAGGAGUUCGCGGCCGAUUAGCUAGUUGGCGGGGUAAUGGCCCACCAAGGCGAUGAUCGGUA